UUUCUCUCUACCCUCAUUUCAUUUCACGACUUCCAAGCCGUCUUCUUCCCAUCAAUCACAGAUAAGCUGAAAUGAGUCGUAUAAUUCGAGCACAGUGUAGGGAAGCAGGAUGUGUAUUCAAGUCCCACACCUAUCACCGCAAGGAUCCUUCCCAAUUUCAUUCUCCGAUAUAGGCGAGCGCGCGACAUGUUUUUUUCGAUGAUGCCGUCGCGAUCAGCCUUCCAAGUUUCCGUGUCCGCCCCAUAUUCCAUUCCCGUAAAGUGUCGUGUGGGUCGACACGGGUGCUUCAGCUAGAAUGGAGAGUUCGUGCAUCAUAGAUCCUAUACAGGUUUGGACCAUUGUACUAUAUCACCCCAAGUCUUUAUGUUUACUAUUUCUAUCUUUUUCAAUUUUCAUUUGUGGGGGAUUGUUGGAAAAAAAUGAAUUAAAGAGCUGAUUCAGGCAUAAAUUUUAAGUGGAACCCGUUUGAUUACUUUGGAAGAUCAAGAUUGAUUUGUGUUCUCAUCCGUAAGAACCUCGAAAUCAUAUAAUUACUUGCGAAAAAUGAUACUCGAGUGAAUAAAAAAUUAGAGUUCAAAUUGAUGUAUUGAAAGAUGUUUUGUAUUGGAAGGGAAACUAUUUCAAAGUUAUCCCACAUAUGAAAAUGGAUAAUGGCAAUGACCACUUUAAAUAUGAUUACACUUUGAAAUGAUAUAAUCAUAUAUAGCAUAAAAUCUCUCUCUAUGUGCGUGUGCAGGGGUGCAAAUUAUGGAUCGAAAUAGGCUUCAAACAUUGAAAUUAUGUGCUACGCGACCUGCGUACACGAAUGUCGGACUGAAAUAAAAAUUGGCCCUUAGGAGGGUUUAUGUUUUGUCUUUUUUUUUUUUUACUAUUAUUUUUCUAAAUAAAAACUUUCCAAAUUCUCUCGACUCCUGAAACUCGUGUUAAUGGAGAGCUUAACAGCCUAGUUAAUGGUGGUUAAUAGCAUAACUCCUGGCAUGUUAAUUUUCCUUUACAGCCUAUUUAUUCAGUCAUUUUUCCUCCCUUGCAGACAUACGAAAAUCUCUCUUCUCUGUAUAAAAUUGCCUUCUGUCAAAUUUUUAGUUUUGGUCAAGGUCUUAGUCGUCGAGGUAGUAUCUUUUGCGCUCAGACUCUACUAAUUUUUCGUUGUAUCCUGAGAAACAGACAUUCAAAUUAAAUCUCAAGCACCAAUGGUGAGGGACAAACCUGUUUUAAGGAAAUUGUGUUUACAUAGGUCUCGAGUUGCAGAUUUAUAGUAUUCUCGGUGCAUAAUAUAUUUCCACGGUUCUCAUUCUUUUUUUGUUUACAUUCUUGCUAUAAUAAAUCAAAUUUAUAUUAUUCUAUAUUAUUUUAAAAAUUAGUAGAAUAUCAGAGGCUCCUAAUGUCUUCCCUCAAAAUGUGAUGAGACUGUGAUAUCAAAAUUUACAUAAACAAGCAGUUGUUAUCUCUAGAAUAAGUUGUCAACAAUCUGGCUACGGUCAUAAUUCCUAGUUGUCAAUAACAAUGCAAAUGCAUCAACCUCGGUGGAAUAAUGCUGCUUGGCCAGGGUGAUUGAUAGAGGAUUGGGUGACAGGGUGGGGGUGAUUGUCUGAUCAUUUGUUGACACGUGUCUCCCUAUUUUCAAAUCUAACAUUAAGCCUGUCACUGUAGCAAAGUUGUUUCCAAUGAGGCAUGUUGCACAUUAAUAUAUUAAAGUAUGCUUUUCAAAUGAUCUAAAUCGUAUUAAUUUUUAUUUUUUUUCAUAUAGUUCUUUUUUCUUUUAAAAAGGAAAUUAUUUCUCUUUCAAUAUCCUCAUCCUUCUCAACUCAAUCACCUUUGGAAUGAUGACUUAUACUGUAGUUUUUCUUGAACUCGCUACCUGUGAAUAAAUCUCGAAUUUUGUAUUUCCUCCGUAACCAUUUGGUUUAAUUUUCUGCCUCGAAGACAUCAUUUCCUUGAGCAUAACCUCCUUAAAAUCAUUCUUCAAAAUUUUCCAUCAAUACACUAUUAAAAAAUACGUUCUUUGACAAGAAUGGGGCUCAAACAAGGCUUAAUCUCUCUCUUUAAGUGUCCUCCAAAUUCUUUAUUCCCCCAAUUGAACUAAUUGCCCCAAUCUUGCCAAAAUGUUUGCUUUUUAUAAUACAUAAGUCUCUCAUCAUUUCCUUGUUGGAGUCUAGUCGUGAAAAGCUAGAACCAUCUAUGGUCUUGCUUUCGCUCCACCAUUUACUAAUCACAUAUUUUCAAAUAUGGAGUUGGAUCCCAUUGCAUGGAAGAAGAAUUUAUCAUAAUCCGAAAAUAUCGGACACAACCUCGAGACUGAUCUCCAAGUGAUCACUUUCUGGAGUGAUUGAUAAUUAGUGCCCAAGUUUUCACUCCCUAACCAGUUUUGAGCCUCAUAGUUAUGCUCUCUCUAGCUUUAGAAGUUAGUUUGAGAUAAAUUUCUUUGGUUUUUUCUGGUUAAAUUAAUUGGUAAUCUGUACCUGUUAUGUAGUGUAUUAUGUCUCAAUAUUGGUGGUAUUACUGUAACGUGGCAUACUUUGUUUCAGUAUGCUAGUUGACCUCUUUAGAACGGUUAGUAAUAUAGAUGUUGUAUAUGAAGCUGCCGAUGAUUUUUGUUGGACCCAACUGUAAUCUGUCUAAAGAAUUGAAGUAAAUUGAUCUCAAGGUGACACCUUUGUGAAAAAUUAGUGGUUUUCUGCGCUAAUACUUGGACAAUUACAUGCAGAUCACACGUCCACAGGAAGCAACUUUCAUGGUCAACAAUUGAGGACCGGUGAAUUAAUUCUGGUUAGAAAUACUUAAGCCACUUUUCGUUUUUAAUGUGGAUUUGACUAUUGAGCCUGCUAAAUUCAAGAUUCAACCGAAAGAUGUAACAUGUUUUGGAAAGAUUUGAAAGAGAUUGUAAAGUUUUUAAGCGUUGUGCGUUCUAGACUGAUGGA
rnacentral:lncRNA from 1 species